rnacentral:tRNA from 1 species
GGGCCCGUAGCUCAGCCAGGAUAGAGCGCCGGCCUUCGGAGCCGGUGGUCCGGGGUUCAAAUCCCCGCGGGCCCGCCA